rnacentral:lncRNA from 1 species
AGGUAUAUGGUUGACUAUUUAGUUAGGGAAACUAAGGUUUUAUUGUACCAGGGACAGUGUGAUAUGCUUCUUAAUGUGGUGUCGAAUGAGGCUUGGAUAAAGAAACUGAAGUGGGCGAGACAAAGAGAGUUCAUGGAAGCAGAUAGGAAAGUUUGGAGAGUGAACGAGACUUCAGCUGGCUCUGUGCAGAAGUUUGAGAAAUUGAGUCAUGUUGUGGUGUUGAAUGCGGGACACCUUGUGCCUGCUGAUCAGCCUUUGAAUUCUCAAGCUAUGAUAGAAGACUGGGUUUUGGACAGGGGACUCUUUGCCGAUUAGCAGUAGAACAACAUGCAAACCAAAUUUUACUGUGUCAAAUUUGAUUUACUUUAUGUUGUGUGCUGUUAUAUUUGUUACUCCAAUUGAUAAUUUGUAUUAUUUGAUUUACCUAGUAAUUUAGCUCCAAUUGUUACUCUUAAGCCAAGAACUUAAUCAUCUUGGCCAUCUUGGCUGAUGAACAAGCAGCUUCAAUAGCCAUUAUAGAUUUGAUGUGGGCAUAGCCUGAAUUCUAUCGAUACGUUCAAAUAAAAUGUUCUGCUUCCCGGAAAAAAAAAGAGGAUCAAAUAGGAAUCAGUUCAACUUUCACGCUCCAAAUCCGGGUCCUUGGACCGAAUUUGCAACGUGGCACAUCGUAUCUACGAGACCUUACUCCCAUAAAUACAAGGUAUCAUGAUCAUAACUUAUAAAAUUUCACUAAAAUUUAGAACUUACAAAUACUAAUGAAAUACAUACAUCUUACUAAAUUGCAUCUACAAAAUACUUUACUCUAACUUCUUAAAAUUUAAACAUCUAUCUAUUUACCUCUCUCACUUAUCUUCUAAAUGUACACGAGUUGACUUCCUUGAUCUGCAAGAAAGAUAAAGAGACGUGGGUUGAGCGAUGUACGCCCAGUAGAUAGUACUUACUCCCCUGUCAGAUCAUGUAACUAUAUACAUAUUUUAUACAUUUGCAAAUUCGGUCACUCCAUACCACAUGCAUACUACAUCAAUUAAAAACAUUUGUCAUCCUAUUUCAAAUAUUAUAUAAACAUACUUCACUGAAAGCUAGUGGUAUGUACAUAAUUGGCCUCCGUCCGACAAGGCACUUAGUCUCGCAGGUUUUAGAGCUGACUUCCGUCGAACGUAGCGUAGAAAUACACAUAACAUGACAUGAUCGUAUUCAUUAAACAUACUUGCAAAUUAUAAAACAUAUCAAUCACGUCAUCUCAUUUCAUAAAUAUAGCUCAUAAACAAGUACACGCAAUAUUCGGCUUCUGAGUAUUCAGCCUAGAUAUUGAACCUCUUCUAGGAGGGCGGUAGAUUAAGCAUUGUCCUUGAUCUUCACUUAAUCUACCCAUAUAAUGACUAUUUAUAACCGAUCAAGCAUUUUCCCUAAUAUUCACUUGAUCGUCACACUGAUAGAACUAUAUCCCAUAUCAUUUAUUUCAUGAUCGUUUAGAGCUUUUGGAUAACUUAAAAUCAUUUCACAUGUCACAUGCAUAAUUCUUUUAAAUUCAUAAAAGUAUGCCACUCAUUUUAUUUAAUAUAGCAUAACUACAAAUAAAUUUCAAAUAGGCAUACAUGAUCCAAUUUGCAUUUAUCAAAAUAAAACAUUCACUUGAGAAAAAUUCAUAUAUAACAUUUCAAAAAACCCAGAGGGAUAAGCACCACCUACCUCGAACUGCUAACAUGCCUUAAACGUGCUUCAAACCUAUUGUCAAUAACAUGUAUACCAUAAUUAGUUCUCAUGUCUUGUUCUUAAAGAACUUAUUUCUUUCUCAAGUAAUUCUAUAAAACAUAUAUGGAUUUUCAAUAAAACGUACUUGAAUAGUUUCCUAAGAAUAGAAUGGUUCCCCUUCCAAGAAAAUACUUAUAAAGUUUCAAUUUUUUUCCAGAAGGUUCCUCGAUUUCAAAACUUUUCUUCUUCUUUUUUUUUUUUUGUUUUUGAAAUUGCCUAAAUUCAUAUAUUCACAAAGAAACUCUCUAUAUUCUAGUAUAAACGGCCUUACAAUAAUUUAGACCGAAUUUGAGUUUAGACUUGGCCUUAGAGUUAAGUCCAUUCAUGAAAAUGGCUUGUUUAAAUUUAUAUUUGGGUUCCCGAUUCACUUGGGUACUUAAAAGAGUUUUUGAAUUCAUUUAAACAAAAUUGGGUCUUUAAAAUAGUGUUGGACUUUUAAAAUAAUUUUUUUAGGCAGUCUAAUUAAGUUUACAGUAGAUUUGGUUUUUUUUUUAUAAAUAAUCUGAUUUAUGAAAAUGACUUGUUCUACUUAGUUUGGGCAUUUCACUGCAUUAUUAUAUUUCGUUGGUUUACUUCCAAAACACUUUGGACUCGAUUUAACCAAUAAGACUAGUUCAUAGAAAAACAGUCAAUUGUUAAACCCUUUUGGGCCAUAAUGAAAUUUUAAAAUACUUUAAUUGCUUUAUCAUGAUUAUCUUAGCCCUAUAGGGAUCAUUUCUCAACUCGUGUGCUUGUAAAAAUAGUCCUUUUAUCAAAAAUGAACUUUGUCAUGCAUAAAAUCUGGGGUUUAUUUAUAUAAUAGUUGUCCCUGUAUUAACUUGGUCAAUCACAGUUUAGUCAUUGCCUAAGCAUUUCUAAAGGCACCAGCUUAAUAAUGCCAACAAGAGGCUUUUUUUUUUUUUUUUUUUUUAUACACAAUUGGUCAAUGACCAACAUUUGAGAUCUAAUUAGUAAAACAUAUCGACUAGUUGAAUUGAACCAUUUUGUAGUCCAACUAAAACAGUGCUUUAGACCAAGUAAUGUUGAUCCGAACUUUAGUAAAAAUUGCUCACAGAUGAAAGGUCCAUUUCAUGAUUCACAAAUCAACUUGAAAACCCAGACAUAAUUCAAACCUUGAAGAUCAGUUACCCAAUUUGUAGCCAACUUCAAAUUUAACUAAUAUGGCUUGCAUGCCACGGUAUUAUUUCUCCCCAGUAAACAAUCAAUAUAUAAGUGACUUUUAUGCAAAGAUUCCCCUUGAUUACAGCCGACAUACGACUAAGUAGGCAAGUCACAAUUGACCAACUCAAAACCUGAAACACACGUUUUUCUGGAGUGGAGUCAUACAGGAAAAACUGGAGUGGAGUGGUAGUUUUUCUUCAUCUCUUUCUCACAUUUGUUAUAGUUUCUAUGGGGAAAGAAGUGGCUGUGUCGUUGAUUAGGCUAGUUGUCAAGUGUAGUUAUCUUAGGUUUUCAAUUACUAAUGAAACUUUUAUUCUUAUUUGUCCACUAAUCAGAAUUAACCACCCACUAACUUAGACACUACUAUUGCAUUAUUGUGGAGUUAGUUAAUGAAGUCUUGAUAAUCCUAAUUAUUAAUUUUGCCUAUUUAAAAUUAUAUUUGACAUUUGAGUAACAAUAAUGAUAACAAUUGGAUCAAAAAAAGGGGGUUUCACAUCAACAGUGUUGCAAUGAGACGCAGAGUUAUCAACAGGGUUUGCAGUAGAAUCUUUCAAAUCCUUCACAAAAAAUGCAGUUACUUUUUCUUGAAUUUUUCUUCUCCAAGCGCUUUCUGCAUGUAAAUCAGUUCAUGUCCAAACAAAUGUAUGAUAAGAGCUGGUUGCCUCGAGAAGAAAUUGGUUUUAUUUGUCCAUUGAUAUUUAUGAUUUCAACCAAACAAAUUCCCCAGGUCUCAGAAGUUAAUCUUCAUCAUAAUCUCAUACAGAAAACAGUACACAGAUUCUGUUAGUCUUAUUUAGACCAGAUAUAAAGUAGAUUUCAAGAGAUGUAAUGACAUUUGGAGGCAAGCCUGUGAUGAAGAAGACCAAGUGAGCAAUGAUGCGAGGAAAAUAAAAUAAAUUGGCCCAAAAAAGAGACCAAAAGAAUUACUAUUAACUUCUACCAGAUGCCAACUUGAAGCAAACAAACCCGUACCAUGAUUGCCAUUCCUGUUGUUCGUACAGGGCAUGGAAUUGCAGGGCAACCUGCAGGUAUUUCAGAGCCAUAAAGAUUAGUACAAGAACUCUCCCCAUAUUUGCGUCCAGCCGUUUAUUGUAUUCUUCAGAUAUGCUUGCUUGCAAUUUUUGUUCGUCUAAAAUGAUGAACUGGAGAAAAGAAGGAAAAGGUAGAAGCAGAAGAAGAAGAAGGCAACGUGCGUGACACAGUAGAAGAGCUGCAACCUGUAAAUGUCUAUGUUUUGCUUGCAGGGUUUCCAGUCCUCCUCUAGAAUGGAAUACUGGAAUAUUUUUUGAUUUGUCUACGCAGUGAAUUAUUUGUAAAAAAAUAUAUAUAUAUAUUUUGUUUGUUUGUUGCAUAAUAAAUACUUUUUUAACACUUUUUUUGUCGAAAAAUUUUAUUUACUUUUUUAUUUCACAUAAAUUACAUCACAAAAAAUGUUGCAGAUUUAUUCUAAAAAAUUCUUUUCAAAUAAUCUUCUACGUCAUUUGAUUGAAUUAUAAUUGUAAAGCAGGGGUUGGAUCAAGCUAUCAUUAACUCAGGGUUAAUUCUGUUUUAAUGUUAUUGGUUAAUUUUUGGGUUCAUGUGCUAAAAACUCAUGUAAGGUGGCAAAAGAUACUCUCCUUAUAAAUAUAGCUACCUCAUAUUUUCAUUUUCAGAUUAUAUAUAUGCAUUUGGGAGUUACAUCAUUGUCAAUGCUGAGUAAUGGAUCUUAUCUUAAAGACAUCACUAAUUAAUAAUCACAACAUAACCUAGUUGUAAUCAUCGUCGGGUCCUCUCCUAUUGAUCAGCAAUCAUCAUGGUAUAAAAUUGGUAAAGAAGCACAAGAUUCUAAUUUUUUUUUAUGUGGUGCUGUGUUAAUUUAUGGGAAAAUUUUAUGGUCCCUCUAGAGAGCUAUUUCCUCAAUUUAUAUUUUUAAAAAAUGAUAAUGAUUUAUUUUUUAAACGAUUUAAAUUGUUACAAUCUAAUAGUCAAAAUCUUUUAUUUUGCGAUCCAACGAUAAAUCUCUAACGUAUAUUGUAGAUUCAACCCAUCCCUUAAUGUUUUUGGACAUGUUUCAUAUUAUUGGACAUAUAUUAUAUUGGGAUGGUCUAAAUUCACACCCCUAAUGCAUUAAUGACUUGUAUCAUGAGUAUUGAUAAUUUGUACUAUUAACAUUAAUAGUUAUACCAUGUGUAGAUUUAGACCGUAGGUAGGGUUGUGGGUUUAGCAUCAUUCACAAUAAUAAUAAAAGGGGACACUAUGGCAAAGAGCCUAUUGCCUCCAAGCAAAGGCGAAAGAAGGACAAACAAAAAAAAAUUGGAAUAAGGCAUUUACCCAAGAAAAGGCCCCCUGUAUUUGCCAAAGAAAAUCUCAUUGGUACAAUCUUCUUAUCAGUAGCUGAUUUGUUUACCUAAAGAAGCAGUACUCUCUCUGGUGGACAUCAUCACAAAUUUAGUGGUCUAGCACUCCAAUUUAGAAUUCAAUUAAAGCAAUCAUCCCUUGAAUUCAACAACAUUGGAGCAACUAAAACAUAUAUAAUUAUCAGUUCCGAAAACAGGAUAGAGACACUUAACGAAAGGAGAACCUCAAAAACUUGGCAUGCAAGAUCACAAAAUUAGAAAAGGGCAGAAACUAGUGAUGAAUAAUUGAUGAAUAUUCUUAUCCUACAACCCAACAAGUGAGGGAUCCAAAUUAUCCAAAACGCAGCUAGCUUUGUCGAACAGAGCAGUUUUUUACAUUCUCAAACUCAAAUGGAGUCAGUGAUUCCAUUGCACGGUCACAACCUCCUCAAACUCCUCCUCUUCCUCACCAUCCUCCACCAUGUACCACACUCAACCACCUCUCUCGAUCUACUCCCUAAAGAAGCGCUGCCGACGAAAUCUGGCUACCUCGAAGUAAACUCCACAACUGGUUCAGCCCUUUUCUACACAUAUUAUGAGGCACAAAAGCCCACCACACCCCUCUCUCAAACCCCCCUUCUCAUCUGGCUCCAAGGUGGCCCUGGAUGCUCCUCCAUGCUUGGAAACUUCUAUGAACUUGGUCCGUGGCUGGUUACGUCUAAUGUUUCAGUUAAGCAUAAUCCAGGGGCAUGGAACAGGAUAUUUGGGGUCCUUUUUAUUGAUAAUCCAAUUGGAACUGGAUUCAGCAUUGCUGCUUCGCUUCAAGAAAUCCCAAGAAAUCAGCAUGACGUUGCGAAACAUCUUUUCAUCGCUAUCAAGAAGUUUAUUAAGCUGGAUGAUAUGUUUAAAACGAGGCCAAUUUAUGUUACUGGGGAGAGUUAUGCUGGAAAGUAUGUUCCGGCACUUGGCUACUACAUAUUGAAAAAGAAUGCUAUUUUGCCAGUUUCCAGUAGGGUCAAUUUGGCCGGUGUAGCUAUUGGAAAAGGACUAACAGAUCCGGCCACACAAACGGCCACUUAUGCUGUGAAUGCUUACUAUUCUGGAUUCAUUAACGAUAAGCAGAAGAAAAUCUUGGAGAAUCUUCAGAAGAAGGCUGUUGAAUUGACACAAAUUGGGAAUUGGACUCAGGCUUCUAAUGCAAGAGAUACAGUGGUGCAAACAUUGCUAGACAUGACUGGCUUCGUAAGUGUAUAUGAUUUUAGAAGGUUAGUUCCAUAUCAAGAUUAUUUAGUGGCUGAGUUUCUAACAAAUAUGGAGGUAAAAAAGGCGUUAGGGGCUAAGGAAAAUAUUGUGUUUGAAGCAUGUAGUGAUGUUGUGGAAGAUGCGCUAACCGAGGAUAUCAUGAAGAGUGUGAGGUAUAUGGUUGACUAUUUAGUUAGGGAAACUAAGGUUUUAUUGUACCAGGGACAGUGUGAUAUGCUUCUUAAUGUGGUGUCGAAUGAGGCUUGGAUAAAGAAACUGAAGUGGGCGAGACAAAGAGAGUUCAUGGAAGCAGAUAGGAAAGUUUGGAGAGUGAACGAGACUUCAGCUGGCUCUGUGCAGAAGUUUGAGAAAUUGAGUCAUGUUGUGGUGUUGAAUGCGGGACACCUUGUGCCUGCUGAUCAGCCUUUGAAUUCUCAAGCUAUGAUAGAAGACUGGGUUUUGGACAGGGGACUCUUUGCCGAUUAGCAGUAGAACAACAUGCAAACCAAAUAUCACUUUGUUGUGUCAUAUUUUAUUUACUUUGUUGUGUGCUGCAAUAUCUGUCCUAGUAAUUCAGCUCCAGUAUUUACACUUGAAGCCAAGAACUUUAUCAUCUGGGCUGAUGAAUUAGCAGUUUCAGUAGCCAU